CUGGAGUUUGCCCUCCUGGUAAAAUCAUUCAGAACAUACUUAGUUUGGGAAAAUUUAGUUUAGAAAGAGAAAGGAACUCCAGGAUGAAGUGUAGCUUGUGGAUUGUUUACUGAUAUCUGUUAGCUGCACUAAUCUUGACCUAUUACCCCUGGGACUGAGGGGCAGGUUGCCUUACUUCACCUUAAUGAAGCUUAUCAUUGCAGGGCCCUAAAACAGCUAGGAAUAGCUCCAUACCAAGCCCUCUAGCCAAACAAUCAGCAAAUAAAAAUAACUUUAAAGAGUGUUAAGCCCAACUUUAUGACUUUCACAGGCACCCAGGACAUGGUCUCACAGGUCUAAGACACCACACAAGGUAGCUCAGGACUGCUUGUUAGUUGACCGGUGGGGACCAACUGUGACUCAUCUAUUUACUACAGAGCAAAGGUAACUUGGGAUGCAAAAGUUGACAGCUGUCUCCCGGGAGACCAUCAGUACUGGAAAUGAGGGCAUUGGGCUUCAACUGGAAAUGUUUCCCUUGGCACAGACCCAGGCUGGAAGAAUGGCGCCCGGUGAGAGGUCACGCCCGAGGAUAAACAUACAAUUCCAAAGGCCUGCCAGCCACAUCAAAGAGCUUCUCCCAAGAAGGCAUAAGCCAGGAGAGGAAGCUCCAGAGUGGGAGGAGAGUGAUAUUUUGAACCAAAAAACAAGAGUCAAAUGAGGCCAACAAUGCGCAAAGCUCGGGCACAGCAUAAAGUGUACUUCCCUUUGGUAAGCAUUUUGUUUCAUAAUAUUAAAUGUCCUAACUGGGCAAACAGAUUCU
rnacentral:lncRNA from 1 species